GAGUUUGAUCAUGGCUCAGGACGAACGCUGGCGGCACGCCUAACACAUGCAAGUCGAACGGAGAUAUUUUGGUUUACUGAGAUAUCUUAGUGGCGGACGGGUGAGUAACACGUGAGCAACCUGCCUCUGAGAGAGGGAUAGCUUCUGGAAACGGAUGGUAAUACCUCAUAACAUAACGAAGCCGCAUGACUUUGUUAUCAAAGAUUUAUCACUCAGAGAUGGGCUCGCGUCUGAUUAGAUAGUUGGUGAGGUAACGGCUCACCAAGUCGACGAUCAGUAGCCGGACUGAGAGGUUGAACGGCCACAUUGGGACUGAGACACGGCCCAGACUCCUACGGGAGGCAGCAGUGGGGAAUAUUGCACAAUGGGGGAAACCCUGAUGCAGCGAWGCCGCGUGGAGGAAGAAGGUUUUCGGAUUGUAAACUCCUGUCUUAAAGGACGAUAAUGACGGUACCU
rnacentral:rRNA from 1 species